rnacentral:lncRNA from 1 species
UUGUGAACUCUCAAUUUCUCUGUAAACUUUGCUAGAUUUCUCUCAUCUUGAGAGCUGGCUUAUCGUUUGGGUGUUUUCUAUGAACAUCGAUUCGAUUGUUACUGGUUACGGAGUUUAAUCUGAGUUUCUUAUUAUUCAUUGGAGUGAUCGGAGGUUUCGCUGUAUCAUUCAGACAAGUAUCCAUGUUUCUCUUGUUGGUAAGAGUUACAAUUCCAUCUUUUUGCUUCUUGUUUGUCAUUUAAACUAAUGAAAAAGCCAAAAAGUUUUAAUCUGCCAAAAGAAAAAGUUUUCUUGUGUUUGCGUAUUUUCUGUUCGUUUCAGUCACUGAGGUCAACAUAACAGUUCCAGUUUUUGUCGAUUCUGGUUCAGUCAUGCAAAUGUGUGACAAAGAUGGUUUUUAAUUUUCUAGUUAAAUUUUGAGGUAUGGUUUCCCUGAAUCAUUACAUAACUGAAGAGAUUGUGGUUUGUGAAAUCUUACAGGGGAUGCUGCAAGCACUUCUUGAAAAAUGGUUCAAAAUUACAGAAACUCUGUUUAUCCAAGACCACAAACUUAUAGUUCUUGUUACUGUGUAAUUUGGUUAUAUGUUGUAGAUCAACAAAAUCUUUUUACGUGAGUAAUAUCCAACAUGAUUCUAAGAGAAUCUAACAUCAGGCUGUAUGUGAAAUGCUACCGAAGCAACUAAAACCCAAUACUAAGCCAAGCAUUCAAAGAAGAUACUGUGUUGGGAUCUUGUCAAUAAGCUUCUUUAUUCUUAGUGAAAUCCUAGUGACACCAAAUUAUAUUGAGUGUUCUGUUAAACAAGAUCCUAAAUUUAUUAAAGAUCAAAAUUUUACAAGUCAAACAAAAUUUCUAAGGAGCACAACAUAACUUAAGACAGCAACUGAUAAAAAAGACAAGCGGGUACCUGGUUAAACCAUUGUUCCUGAGCGAAGAAAAGACACACACCCUUUUGAAUCACCGGUUACCUGCAGUAACAGGUUUGAUUAGUAUACAGAAACAAGAAAAUAGAAAAAUAUCUCAUGAGCUUUUUAUGUCUUACAUUCUAUAUUCAGCUUUUCAAUGCGAAAAGUCUCAGUUCUCUCUACUCUCUAGAUGGUAAUAGGUGUGCCCAAACACCAUGCUAUUUUGAAAUGUAGCUACAGUUUUUCCUUUCUUUUGCCCAUGCACUUCUCUUUCAAUGUUAGAUACCAUCAAGUCUGAAUCUGACACUUCUUUGCAACGCCACUCUCAGGGGGCCUUGUGAGAGGUUCAUCAUUGUCUUCAGGCCUUCCUUAAGUUUCCAGUUCAAGUUUUGAGGGGUCAAAGGUUAUCAUUUGAUAUAUAAGGUAUAGAACUGCGCCAUGUCCAGAAGCUCCUCUUGAUUCUCAUAGUAAUUUUUUUUUCCAUCCCCACAUAGCCUUUGCACAACCCUCCAGUGUGUAUUGCAGGUUACAGGUGCGCAGCAGAGUCUGUAGAAACAAGAGGACUCUAUGAGAAAGUGCUAGAGAAUCUGCGACGCAUCAACAGAUAGGAGAUGAAUCAG